rnacentral:rRNA from 1 species
UGGGGAAUAUUGCACAAUGGGCGCAAGCCUGAUGCAGCCAUGCCGCGUGUAUGAAGAAGGCCUUCGGGUUGUAAAGUACUUUCAGCGGGGAGGAAGGGAGUAAAGUUAAUACCUUUGCUCAUUGACGUUACCCGCAGAAGAAGCACCGGCUAACUCCGUGCCAGCAGCCGCGGUAAUACGGAGGGUGCAAGCGUUAAUCGGAAUUACUGGGCGUAAAGCGCACGCAGGCGGUUUGUUAAGUCAGAUGUGAAAUCCCCGGGCUCAACCUGGGAACUGCAUUCGAAACUGGCAGGCUAGAGUCUUGUAGAGGGGGGUAGAAUUCCAGGUGUAGCGGUGAAAUGCGUAGAGAUCUGGAGGAAUACCGGUGGCGAAGGCGGCCCCCUGGACAAAGACUGACGCUCAGGUACGAAAGCGUGGGGAGCAAACAGG